AAAAUGACGCACGCAACGUAGUAACACACAUCUACACCUACCUAAGCUAAGAAUCAAUUGAAUUGAAUUAUUUGAAUCACUAUUCUUUCCGUAUUCUUGUUUUGAAGGACUUGUUUUUGGACUUUGAAUAGUCCAAAUCCAAAUUCUCUCUAAUGGCAGCAUCAUCAGAAUCCAUACUCGAUCACAUCCCUCUCUUUGCCAAAGAACUUCUAGCCGGUGGUCUUGCUGGUGGCUUUGCUAAAACUGUUGUUGCUCCUCUUGAACGUCUCAAAAUUCUUUUUCAGACCCGAAGAACUGAGUUUCGUAGCGCAGGACUGUCUGGAUCAGUUAGGAGAAUUGCCAAAACCGAAGGCCUUUUGGGGUUCUACAGGGGAAAUGGAGCAAGUGUGGCAAGGAUUAUUCCUUAUGCAGGUCUUCAUUUUAUGUCCUAUGAGGAAUACCGAAGAUUGAUCAUGCAAGCCUUUCCUAAUGUUUGGAAAGGUCCUACCCUUGACCUAAUGGCAGGGUCACUCUCUGGAGGGACGGCUGUGCUUUUUACUUAUCCACUUGACUUAAUUCGGACUAAGUUAGCUUAUCAGGUAAAUUAUAUUUCUGCUCAGAAAUCAAAUCAGUUUUCAUCCAUGACUUUGGUUGUAUUUUGUGAUCUGCAGAUUGUUAGUCCAACCAAGUUGAAUGUUUCCGGGAUGGUAAAUAAUGAACAAGUUUAUCGAGGGAUCCGUGACUGUCUUUCAAAAACCUAUAAAGAGGGUGGCAUUAGAGGUCUCUAUAGGGGAGUAGCUCCGACACUCUUUGGAAUAUUCCCAUACGCGGGUUUGAAAUUCUACUUCUAUGAGGAAAUGAAGCGCCGCGUCCCUGAGGAUUACAAGAAAAGCAUCAUGGCGAAACUGACAUGUGGAUCCGUGGCCGGUUUAUUGGGUCAGACAUUCACAUAUCCUCUUGAAGUUGUCAGGAGGCAAAUGCAGUUAACCUGUCUAGGUUCAAAACCUUGCGGCAUCUGAAGAAGCCGAAUUGAAAGGCACUAUGAGAUCCAUGGUUUUGAUUGCUCAAAAGCAAGGCUGGAAGACCCUGUUUUCAGGGCUGAGUAUCAAUUACAUAAAGGUUGUUCCAUCUGCGGCCAUUGGCUUCACAGUUUAUGAUACUAUGAAAUCAUACUUGAGAGUACCAUCAAGAGAUGAAGUGGACUAACAAAAGAAUCAGUCAACCAUCCUCACAUUAGGAAUAAGCUCCUAACUCCUCCAGGCUUCAAAACUGGCUUCUUCUUCUCAUUAUAUUCACAUUGUUUUCACACAUUACUUUAGCUGCACAUUGCAUUCUUUCGGAUUGUAAAUAGAGAUUAGAGGUUGUUACACACUAUACCAACAAACAAUACCCUGAUUCAGAUCUCAUUGAAGUAGGAAAUAGUUUCUUUGUGGUUUAGACAGGACAAACUGUUUAUGUACAAUUAACAAAUAAAUUAAUUGCACUUUUUGAAUGUGCAAGUAGAGAUAAUGAUAUAGAAAUGUUGACACAGUCACAUCCUUUCACUGUAUUCAGUUUAUCUAUGCAGCCACUGAAA